UUGACUUGAGUGUCGAAGUGUGAUCUCCGGCCACCGAUGGCUUCACCUCUAACAUUCUUUUCAUUGUUUUGCAAGUCUAAGGUGUCCUUGCACGCUUUCUCACUCCAUUACUGUCAUCCUCACAUUGCGAUUAAGUGAGGUACCCUAUAUCUUGAAAAUAAAUUUAUUGUUUUAGCCAAGUGUUCCUCUUACUUUUCGCACCCAAAAUCUACCUAAAACAAUCAUCUUCAUCUUUAUCAAGACCAAACACUUCUAUAUAGCUAUCUAGUUAUUCUAUUCAUCAUGUAUAAUGGAAAAUCUAUGUAACCUCCAAUUUAUAUAGUUAAUGAGUG
rnacentral:lncRNA from 1 species